rnacentral:lncRNA from 1 species
CAUAAUCAUCUUUCGUUUCCAACCUCCAUAACCACUACCCGAGAAGGAAGUGGGAACAAGACACGCACCAUGUACAUCAGAAGAAUAUACAAACAAAGGGUUGGAAGGGUCUAUAGAACCAGAGUUACUACUAGAACCACCACCAUUCGUGUUAGAAGCCAUGCUUAAAUGAAUUAAAUCGUUCACAAAUAUCACAAAAAAUCAAUAUUCACAGCUCGAACAAUCAGUACUCACAAAUAGAAUCAAACAAUCACACACAACCAAAGAAUCACAACCAAAAGGUAGGAACAAUGUUACCGUCCUUCUUCGCAACCGGAGAAGAUCGGCCUUUAACAACAGAUAAAACCCUAGGUAUGAACCCUAGGAGUAACCGUCAAAGUUUUGCCGGAGAUACCAUCAACGAUGUCGUAGCAGUACCGAUAACACCCAAGACAUCAGCAAAAAUGAGUAUCAAACCACCGGAUGGCAGUCAAACGACCGAUUUGACCACCAGAAACCCUAGAGGUUGAAAACUCACAGAAAAAUCUCUGAAAAUUUCACAACAAUCGAUUGAACCGUUCAAUAAACGAAG